rnacentral:rRNA from 1 species
UUCUUUGCGAACUGCUCAGUAACACGUCCUAUAACCUGCCCUAUGCUCUGGAAUAACCUCGGGAAACUGACAUUAAUACCGGAUAGAUCACAACGCCUGGAACGGUGUGUGGUUGAAAGAUUACGGCAUAGGAUGGGUCUGCGGCGUAUCAGGUUGUAGGGGGUGUAACGGACCUCCUAGCCAUCGACGCGUACGGGUGUUGGGAGACAUAGCCCGGAGAUGGAUUCUGAGACACGAAUCCAGACCCUACGGGGUGCAGCAGGCGCGAAAACUUCACACUGCAGGAAACUGUGAUGAGGGAACUCCAAGUGCGCGCACUUAGUGUGCGCUUUUGUUGACUAUUAAUCGGUCAAUGAAUAAGGGCUGGGAAAGACCGGUGCCAGCCGCCGCGGUAAUACCGGCAGCUCAAGUGGUCGUCGCUUUUAUUGGGCCUAAAACGUCCGUAGCCUGUUUGGUAAAUCUGUGGGUAAAUCAACCAGCUUAACUGGUUGAAUUCUGCAGAGACUGCCAUACUAGGGACCGGGAGAGGUGUGGGGUACUCUAGGGGUAGGGGUAAAAUCCUGUCAUCCUUAGAGGACCACC